GGAGAUAUUAAAAAAAAAUUUAAGAAUUUAAUAUCUUUUAUAAGUUCAAGCCAUUAAAGAAUCGAGCUGGAAUUUGAAUCCAGAAUGGUUUGUCUCUAAGACUGACCUGUUUUCAGUGAGUAGUACUGCCUCUUCAAAUCACCAGUGGCAUAAUUCUAUAUCCUGCUUUAGCAUAUUUUUCUCUAAAAAUUAUUUUCCACAAGCUCUGUUUAUGAGAAAAUAAAAUAGCAGAUUUUUCAGUAUUCAGAUUUAAACCUACCCACAGGGAAUAUUUUGCUCAGACUAAUAUCAUCUAAUCGGGCACUUACUCUUUUCAUGCAAAAUCCUGCUCAGGUCAUGGGUUAAAACAGCCAUUCAAAGCACACCUUCCUUCUGGGUACUCACGGCAAAUCUUUUCUUUCUAAAAACAUGAGUUCACGCUAUGGCUUUUUUCCCCCCUUUGGUAUAAAAAAAUACCUUACAAGGUAUUUCUAAGGUUUCUAAAAAUGAUGUCACAUGAUUUUUUGGUUCUGACUUUCAGCAUGCAAAAUCAUUUUUAAUGUUAUUAAUCUUAAAAAAAAAAUAGCCUUAGUACAUAUGAUAACACCCAACUUUAUGGUCAUCAAAAUACAUACAUCUAUAUAUUUUGAGAGCCUCUCCGUGUGCCAGGAUUACUCUUUGGUACUAGGGAGAAAGUGAUCCAUAUUAGAAAUUGCUCACUGUCCUGCGUAAACAUGUGCUCUAGGGUGGAAGCAGGAGAGUAAAUUGUAAGCACCAUACAGACUGGAGUGUUACCUUAAGAUAAGUAGAAGGUGCAGUUAAUCAAACUGGGGGUAUUAAAAAAGAAUUAUCCAAAGGGUUUAUAACCUAAGCUGAAUAUUGAAGAUGGGUACCUGGGGUUAGGCAGAUAGAGAAAGUUGAGGUAAGCCCAGGUAACCAUUAAUUUAAUAUAUGGAUAACAAACAUGGGAUGAACAGAAAAGACUCUGCAUUUGAAAAUAUAUGUUUUAAAUACAUUUCCAUAAAAUAUAGUUGAAUUUCUCAGUUGCAUGUGUGGGGCAAAAGGUCUAUAUUCCAAUGAGCCUCACUGUUUUUUGGAGCCUUUUCUAGAUUACAAAUGAGAAAAUAGUGAAUUUAUUGAGGGCAGGGUGUAUUGUGAAGGUAGCUAAAUAGCUGGCAUAAUAUGAUUUCAGAAUCAAAUUUUGAUGACCGGAUCUGUGAUGUCAGCACACAUAUGGCUUAAACAAGCAAGAGUUAUAUUUAUGGAUUCUGUCCGACAGUCUUUUUGGAUGGCAGGAUUUUGAACUUCCAUUAUAUUUCCCUAUUUCAUGUGUUUGCAUAUUUAAUUUACCUGCUCUUUUUUCUACUGAGAACAUGCACUACUGUACUGCACUACUAUUUUAAUAGAGAAGUUAGAAGUAGGAGUGUGUUCAAAUGUCACAAUUCAGGAGUUCCAUUGUGGAUCAGCAGGUUAAGGACCCAAUGUUGUCUCUGUGAGGAUAUAGGUUUGAUCCCUGGCCUUACUCGGUGGGUUAAGGAUUCUGCUUUGCCUCAAGCUAUGGCAUAAGUCAUAUCUCGGAUCUGGUGUUGCUGUGUCUAUGAUGUAGGCCUCAGCUACAGCUCCAAUUCAGCCCCUAGCCUGGGUACCUUUAUAUGCAGCAGAUGUGGCUGUAAAAAUUUUUUUUAAAAAGUGACAGUUUAUGAAUUCAAAAUCUUCAUCCUUGUAUAACUAUGUAUAUAGGUCUUCUCUUUCCUCAUUACUGUUCCUCUCUGCAAAAAUUAGUUCAGAAUAAUUCCACCAAUGAAAAAUAAUGUAAUGUAAUUUCUGCUGCUAUUUACCAUUAUCAAAUAUGCAGGUAUUAAGUCUUUUUAUAAUUACUUAAAAUAUAACUUGACAGUAGCAAAUGUUGAGAGGUUUGUUGUUGUUUAAAUUCCAAAAGCAUUUUGCCACUAACUUUUUUAAAUAAAGCAUUGAAAAGAGUGUGGGUGUGAAGCCCUUCAGAGAAAUCGUUCAGGUCAUCUGCUGAAAGCCUCAGUCUCAUCUCACUUGGUUGUCUGGAAGCCACGUGUCUCUUACUUGGAAACUCUGAUGACAGUGCAUGCAAGUUGUGACAUGGUUUACUUCCUUUCAUUUUAACUCUCGAUGAUUUUCCCAGGAAGAACUAGCUUGUGAUCUAUCUACACUGCACCACUCCCUGUCAUUUGUUCAGAGUGGAUUUGGUCAUUGCAGUUCUUUGGAACAGCUCUUUUGGGUUAAAUAUUUUGGAUGAGUUGGAAAGAUCUUAUCCCAGCUUACUGUAGUCUAAAACAAUAUCUUGGCAAUCACCUACGCCCUCCUGGAGAAAACAUAUUGCUGCAGAUUCUGCCUUGAAAUGUUAGCUGAGGGGCCUUUAGAGGACUAUAUUUCGUUGGAUUUUAACUCCUUGGAAAAUUCUUCAACUCAUUCUCAAUGUUUUAACCAAUGUAUGUAAGUAGAAAAUUUAUCCAAGAAAUUAAGCUCUACUCCCCACCCACAUCAAUGGACAGAUCCUCUAGACAGAAAAUGAAUAAGGCAACAGAGAUCCUAAAUGGCACAGUAGAAAAGUUAGACUUAAUUGACAUUUUCAGGACAUUACAUUCAAAAAAAUAAGAAUAUACAUUCUUCUCAAGUGCACAUAGUACAUUCUCAAGGAUUGACCACAUACUGGGGAACAAAACUAACCUCAACAAAUUUAAGAGUAUAGAAAUUAUUUCAAGUAUCUUCUCUGACCACAACGGCAUGAAACUAGAAAUCAACCACAGGAAAAGAAAUGAGAGAAAACUAAUUACAUGCUACUAAAAAAACUAAUGGGUCAAUGAGGAAAUCACAAAGAAAAUUAAAAAAUACCUUGAUACAAAUGAUAAUGAAAACACAACCAUUUGAAAUCAAUGGGAUGCCACAAAAUCAGUGCUUAGAGGGAAGUUCAUAGUGAUACAGGCCUUCCUCAGAAAAGAAGAAAAAUCUCAAAUCAACAACUUAACCUACCCCCUAAAA
rnacentral:lncRNA from 1 species